rnacentral:rRNA from 1 species
UACAGAGGUCUCAAGCGUUGUUUCGGAUUCAUUGGGCGUAAAGGGUGCGUAGGCGGCGCGGUAAGUCGGGUGUGAAAUCUCGGAGCUUAACUCCGAAACUGCAUUCGAUACUGCCGUGCUUGAGGACUGGAGAGGAGACUGGAAUUUACGGUGUAGCGGUGAAAUGCGUAGAUAUCGUAAGGAAGACCAGUGGCGAAGGCGGGUCUCUGGACAGUUCCUGACGCUGAGGCACGAAAGCGUGGGGAGCGAACCGG